ensembl:lncRNA
UUUUGUGACAUACCCAAGAGGACCAUAGUCUAUAUGAAUUCAUUUGGCGAGUCGGAGGUCAGAAAAAGUGCGGUGUUGAAAAACUGGAGGUAAUUAAUUAACAUAUUUAACAUAACAUAUUUAAUUUAAUUGAAAUCAUUACCGAACGUGGUUAUUGAUUUCUCUAUAUGCUUUUUAUUUGUAAUAACUGCGAUCUCUCAGCUCAUUUGCUUCAGCAAGAGGCUGCGCUGGAGAGUGGACCUUGUCACAUGUGAGCCACCCACAUCAACAGGAUGGGAACUCAUGUGGAGUGCAUGUCAUAAUGGUACUGAAAACUAUAGCUUUAACCUAUAUAAGUAAUGUUUACAUUUUUGCCUAUUCAGUUUUUAAAGCCUUAGAGGCAGGAUGGUAAAAUCUCAAUUUUUUUUGUAGAUUGAACCAUUUCAGCAGUAAUGCUUUGCUUUGGUUGCUCUGUUUUUUUUUUUGUUUUUUUUUUUUUUUUUUUUUUUUUUUCCUCCUCGGGGGGUUAAAAACAAACAAACAUUUCUUUGUUAAUCUAAUUCUUUUUGUUCUUUUUUUUGUUCUUUUUUUUUUUUUUUUUUUUUUUUUUUUUUCUUCGUCAAUUAUUAGUUUGCCCAAUCUCUCAUUGACGGUAAAACACAAGUGGAGGAGUACAACACUGAAAUCACAAAGCUCAGGUCCCGACUUUGCCACUACUUAUUUUCCUCAAUAGAUCGAACUAGGAAGUGCAGUCAGUGCUGGUGUGUGAUUGCAGCCAAAGACCGGGUGCAGUGCCAGAAAUGUGGUGCAUACAAGCACAUGCGUUGUUCAAAGUCUGUUUGUGGCAUCUGUAUCUUCUGUGAGAGGCCGUAAAGCCAAACUGCCCGCAAUGAUUCUUGACAGGCCUAAGAAGGCCAAAACUAAAGUAACAGUGUUUAGUGUUCUGAGUGAAGAGGAGGCUGGGGAGCUAGCCCUCGGGUUUGCCGGAAGAUUGGCCUGCGAUGUCACAACAGACAUGGUCUGUAAAGGCAUCGACCAUUCAAGUGCUGAUAUGACAAAACAGACUCUUCUCAAAAUCCAACACAACCUUAAACAUGAGCUGACUGAUUCCUCAACCUUCAGUUUGCUGACACACACCUUUGGCCCCGCUGCACUGGAUUCUGUCAUUUCAUUCCUGUGUGAAAAACUUGAUCUUGUCUCUUAAAUAAUGAAGCCUUUUGUGACUUUUGUUUGUUCUGUAAAUCAGAAUCUUGAAAAUUGUUCAUUGUUGUUCUAAGUUUGUGUUAACUAUUUGGCAAAAAUGAUUGGUUCCUAAUCCAAACAGCAUAAUGACUGUUCUAACACAUAUCUUAAAAAUGCUACAAAGAAAGAAAAUUAUCACAUAUGUUUCAAUAUGAAUGUAAUUGUGUCACACUCGGUUUGUAGUAGCUUUCCUGUUUUAUUUUGAGUUUUGGUAUGUUUACACUGUUAUUUUUAUUUCCCGUGUGUUCGUCUUCCCUUAUUAGUUUUACUGUAUUUAAUUAGUCUGAUUUAAUAACUUAUAAUUAUUUACUUUCCAGUGUGUGUAUAUGCUCCUCGUUUGGAUUAUUGUUUGUUUGAGUUCUGCCUGUCUUUUCUAUUAAAGAUUUGGACUUUUGGACUAUUAGUGGACCUCGUAGGUUUUUAUUCUGUGCAAUUGGUAAUUGACUGGGUUUAAUUUAGUGGCCUGGAAAACAGGCCGGAGGGGUCUGGUCAUUUUAACCCCCUAAGACCCGAAAUCUUCCAUGGCAUGCAUUUUUAAUUUCUCUUUGAUAUUUGGGCCGAUUGGAACCCGAUGAAUGUAAAAAGAAAGAAUUACCAGGUUUUUUUUUUUUUGUUUUGUUUUUUUACCUAAUUUUUGUUUCUGAGAAAAAUGAGAGCCACAUAUGAGGACAUUCAUUUGAAAUUUCGAUAGAACAGUUGCAGUAUAAUGUCCUCGUAACUGUAUAUCAGGCACUUGUUGAUCAAGAUUUAGUAUUUUGGUCUAAAUAACCCAAAAUGUGAUGUCCACAUGUGUGGACGCCAGGCUGGAGUAAAGUGUUAGAGCUAUUUAUACCUAUGUAAACUUUUAUACACUGGUUUUUACCUGUCUUGUUUCAGAAAGGUUUAAAAGGGUAAUGUCCACAGUUUAUUUGUUUAUUUAUUUGUUUGAAUUCAAC